UGAAAUUAGAAUCAACCACUAUUAUUACACAACAUCUCUUACCAAAUCAGAUCAUCUUCGAUAAGAAGAAUCAUUGUCAACUAUUCCAGCUAUGACUUACAUCUGAAUCUCAAUAGCACAACUCGAGCUAGCAUCAACCUUAUCAAUCUUCCUGGACACUUCUCGACCACUGGAUCCUUAACACCUCUGACUCCUCGCCUAGCCUUAACUUUACUCGCAAUCAUAGACUAGCCAUUUAUCUUUAAUCCUUUCUGAAAUGGUUAAAAGAGAAUAGCAAGAGUGAGCAACAAUGCUCAGCAAGUAAUAAUAACAAUGAAAGUUCUGAAGUGAUAUAGCAGAAAUUCUCGAGUUCAAGAUAUAAAAAGAUUCAACCUGAGUUCACAAAUUCAGGUAUUGUAUAAAAGAAUCACAAUACCUUGCAGCAAUAGAAACCUGAGGAAUUCAAUCCUUCACAAGAGAAUUAUUGAAUUGGACUAUCACAUUUUAAUUAAAAACCAAGGUUAGGAUGCUGAUCAGUCAUACCUAACCCCGAGCAGGCCCCGCCAUGCUCUAUCACUGGAUCCAAGGCACUCAUUGGCCUAACAUGACCACUCAUCUGGUCUGACCACUCAUCUGGUCCACAUGUUUAUAUAAAAACAAUAAUCCAAUUCUCUAAUUCAAUUCAAGAAGCCAAUGUAAAUCAACAGAACAUCAUCAUAAAUAUCAUCAACAACAGAAUAAUUCCAAAUCAAACUUUGAUAAUAAUCUAUUCAUAAAUUAUGAUCCAUCAUUUCAUAAAUCACAGUUCAGGAAAUCCUCAACUAUUCAGUAUCCUCCAUUAUCGGCUAAGCAACUGAAUUUAGCCUGCUAAACCAGCAUGACAAUGGCGGGUUGAAUAAUCAAGAAGAUCCCAAUUCAUUCAAAGCUCUAACUAUCACUGAGCAACACAUGCUUCAAUGACAAUCUGAACUUCGAAUUAAUUUGUAAAACGGAAAUUCUUUAGAAACUUGAAGAUUAGAAAGAAUGGGUCAGAAUACUCGCACUUUCGAACAUUGAAAAGAAAGGUAUGAAUACUUGAAACAUAUACCAAAGGAAUGGAUCAGAAUAUUUGCAAUAUAUCCAAGAGAAAGGUUUAGGAUACUUGCCUUAAAUCUGACUCCCGUCUCACAGCUCAUUCUCAUCUUUCCACUUUCACAAUCUAUGCAUCUCAUAAUCUCUAGACCAUCUCUAGCUAUACUCUAUUCGCCACAUCGCUUCGCUUACUCGAUUCAUCCCUUAUUCGCUUUGCAAUACCAUUCCGACUUUCUGACGUCUUCGAACGUACACGUCUCGUCCAAAUCCUUUACGAGAAUAAGAUAAUACUAUAGUCACUAAACAAUAUAUCGCAUAUACAUAUCACGUAUAUCGAUACCCACUUAUAUACCCCUUUAAACUUAUCACAUACCACAUAACACAUAAGCAUGCUUUGACUCUACCAUAUAGUCAAGUCAUAUUCCACAUAACAUAUUACAAAUCAAUACUCAUAUAAAUCCUAUCGAAAAUCCGACGUCGUCUCGUCUAUUUAUUAGACUAUCCACCUGUUAUCUUAUCUCAACCAACAACCAAUUCCCAAUUGUAUAAUCCAUAUAUUAUUAUCCCCUAUCAAUCAGGACACAACACCAUGUCAUACAAAUCACUUAUCACAUUUAUAAUAUCAUAAAUAAACACGUACUUCACGUAACCAUCAAUUUAUAGCAAUUAGAUCACAUAUAAUCACAUUUUACUUAUUUAACAACACAUAAUCACAUACUUGACUCAAUCAUAUUAUUAUGUCAUAUUAAAAUAGGCUUUAUAAACUUUCAUCUCUCUUUCGUUUCACUCGAUUCCGACUUACGGAUCAAAAGAUAUGUUUAAAACCGUUUUCUCACUCUUAUAUCGACACAUAAGACAUCCAACCAAUAGCAGACAACACAUUACACAUAAGGUUUCCCACCCCAAUAGAGGUCAAAUCAAAUCUUGAGUUCAAAAUGAUUUUUCGGGAAUUUUCUGUAAUUUUUAAACAUUUUUCGGAAUUAAAAUCGAUAAAAGAAUCACUUUUCAAAACGACGAGAAAAACAUGUACUACAACAUGGAAUCAUCAAAACAAUCAAACAAACACGUUUGCAAAAAUCCACUAUUUAAAUCUUAAUAAUUCGAAUUUUAAAACUUCAAUUACUCCCUACCUGUGAAUCUCAU
rnacentral:lncRNA from 1 species